UGGGACUUUGGGCCUUGUCAGGGUUGUUCAGUGGUUCUGCUCAGUGUGAUUUCUCUCUGAGGUGGUAGAACAACUUAUAUUACUUUGGGCAUAUAUCCAGUAAGGGGAUUGCUGGCUUGAAUGGUGGUUCUAUUUUAAGUUCUUCCAGCAAUCUCUGGACUGCUUUCCACAGUGGCUGACCUAAUUUACAUUCCCACCAGAAGUGCGUAAGUGUUCUGUUCUCUCUGCAACCUUACCACAUCUGUUAUUUUUUUUGUAAUAGCCAUUCUGACUGGUAUAAGAUGGCAUCUCAUUGUGAUUUUCCUUUACAUUUCUCUAAUGAUUAGUAAUAUUGAGCAUUUUUCCAUAAGCUUGCUGAUUGUAUGUCUUCUCUUGAGAAAUGUCUGUUCAUGUCCUUUGUCCAUAUUUAAUGGGGUUGUUUUUUUGCUUGUUGGUUUGUUUAGCUUCCUUAUAGAAUCUGUGUAUUAGACCUUUGUUGGAUGCAUAUUUUGCAAAUAUCCCCUUACCAUUCUGUAAAUUGUCUGCUUACUCUGUUGAUAGUUUUCUUAAAAGAAAGCACAGCAUUUAGUUUAAUUAGGUCCCAUUUGCCAAUUUUUGUUUUUGUUGCAAUUGCUUUUAAAGUCUUCAUUAUGAAACCUUUGCUAGGUCUGAUGCCCAGAAUGGUACUUCCUAGGUUUUCUUUUAGGAUUUUUUUAGUUUUAGGUUUAAGUUUAGUCUUUGAUCCAUCUUGAGUUGAUUUUUGUAUAUGGUCUAAGGAAGGGGUCCAGUUUUAAUUUCCUGCAUAUGGCUAGCCAGUUAUCCCAGCACCAUUUAUUGAAUAAGGAGUCCUUUCCCCAUUGCUUGUUAUUGUCAGCUUUGUCAAAGAUCAGAUGGCUGUAGGUGCCUUGCUUUAUUACUCCUUUGAAAUGUUUUGAGGGCUGUUUUAUAUUUUAACAUGCAUGAGUUUAUAAAAAUAUUGCACGUGUGCUUGAAAACUAUUUAUAUUCUGUAGUUAUUGGGACAGUUUGUCUGUAGAUUGAAAGUAUCAGUGGUAAUCAAAUCUUCUCUAUUUCUGCUGGUAUUUUUUUCUCCUGACUAUCAAUUUCUGAGUGUGGAAUAUUACAAUAUCUUAAUGUGAUUGUGAAUUUUUAAAUUUGUAGGUCUGUUCAUUUUUGCUUUAUAAAUUCUUCAGUUUAUGAUGUCAAGUGCAUAUAAGUGUAAAAUCUGAAAUCUUUCAGCUUAAUUGAAAUUCUGUAAUUAUGUGGGAAAGCUGUUCAUUUCUAAUUACAUUUUAUUUUAAUAUUUUUUCAUAUUGGUAUAGUUAUCCCAUAUUUUUUCCAAUUUGUAUUUAAAUGGUCACUCUUUUUUCUACUAUUUUAAUUUUCCACUAUUUUUCUACUUUAUUAAUCAGGAUAAAUAGUCAGGGCAUAUCUUCUUUAUUCAGUCUACUGAUUCAAAUGCUAAUCUGUUUUAGAAACACCCUUAUAGACACCCCCAGAAAUAAUAUGUUACCACCACAUAGGCAUAUCUUAGCCCAGUUACACUGAUACAUAAAAUUAACUAUCACAUUUAUAUUUAUGUAGCCUUAUAUUUUAAUAAUAGGUUUGAUUUGGACUUUUAAAUCUUAUUUUGCAAUUUAUCAUAUAACUGAAUAUUUAUUCACUUAAAUUUACUGUAAUGAGUAAUAUUUGUUUAUUUGUAAUAUUGUUAAACAUAGUAGGCAUUGUGUUUCAAAUCUAUAUCUGACAAUUAUAGUUUCUAAAUUAUGUCCUGGUCUUUUGUGAUAUUUAUUGUUUCUGCUGGUUUUUGUUCCACGUUUCCCUUUUUCUUUGGACUUAAUUAUCUUCGACUGCUUGAUAGUAAUUAAUUGGCUUGGAAAAUUAUCUGUGGUAUCCCUCAAGGCUAACGAUGCAUCCACAUACUUCCAGAAUGGC
rnacentral:lncRNA from 1 species